CGCCGCGUGAGGUGAUGAAGGUCUUCGGAUUGUAAAGCCCUGUUUUCUAGGACGAUCAUGACGGUACUAGAUGAGGAAGCCACGGAUAACUACGUGCCAGCAGCCGCGGUAAUACGUAUGUGGCCAGCGUUGUCCGGAUUUACUGGGCGUAAAGGGUGCGUAAAUUAGAUGUUUAAGUGGGAUGUGAAAUCCCCGGGCUUAACCUGAUGUGCUGCAUUCCAAACUGGAUAUCUAGAGUGCAUUGAGAGGAAAGCGGAUUUCCUAGUGUAACGGAAAAAUGCGUUCAGAUUAGUAAAGAACACCAUGGGCGAAGGCUGCUUUCUGGACUGUAACUGAACGCUAAUUUCUAAAGCGUGGGUACCAAACAGGAUUAAAAUACCCUGGGUAGUCCACGCCAUUAAAAUAUGGAUACUAUCUGUAGGGGGUAUCAUCUCCCCCUGUGCCGCAGUUAACACCAUACCUAUCUCCGCCUGGGGAGUACGGUCGCAAGAUUAAAACUCGAAGGAAUUGACAGGGGGCCAACCUCAACGGCGGAGCAUGUGGUUUAAUUCGAAGCAGCACCAAGAACCUUACCUGGACUUGACAUCCCUAGCCUAACCUAGAGAUGAGUUAAUCUGUUCCGGGCAAAGAUACAGGUGGUGCCUUGGUUGUCAUCAGCUCGUGUCGUGAGAUGUUAUGUUAACUGCUCGC
rnacentral:rRNA from 1 species